GCAUUAAUGGGUAGUGGUAACCUGGGUCGUUGCCAUCCGAGUGGAUAUAAAUCUCGACCCGCCGGGGGUUCGAUUCCCCAUUAAUGCA